rnacentral:rRNA from 1 species
CAAUAGCGUAUAUUAAAGUUGUUGCGGUUAAAAGCUCGUAGUUGGAUUUCUGCCUGAGGCAGCCGGUCCGCACUUAGUGCGUGUAUCUGGUUUGGGUUUGGGCAUCCUCUUGGGGAGUCGUUGCUGUGCUUAGUUGCAUGGUGCGGAAUUCAAGACGUUUACUUUGAGGAAAUUAGAGUGGUUACGGCAAGCUAUCGCUUUGAAUACAUUAGCAUGGAAUAAUAAGAUAGGACCUUGGUUCUAUUUUGUUGGUUUCUAGAGCUGAGGUAAUGAUUAAUAGGGAUAGUUGGGGGCAGUUCGUAUUUAACUGGUCAGAGGUGAAAUUCUUGGAUUUGUUAAAGACGGACUACUGCGAAAGCAUUUGCCAAAGGA